rnacentral:lncRNA from 1 species
UCUUGCCACUGUGCGAGGCAGUGGCUCUCAACGGAGAUGUAAUCUGCGCAUCGUGRGACAAGAACGCAACAAUUCUGCCGGGUUGUAAUGCAACAUACCAACUAUUUUGACUUGGUCUUAGAAAUGCUUUCCAGUGUCAGCUGAAAUUAGUGUUCCCUGUGACCGAAGUCAAUGAAACUUUUUGUGUGAGGAAAAUAGGGUAGGAAGCGGUCUACCUCAGAGAUGUGCAAGUGCUUUUUUCGUAGACGUAACAAAGGUCCAUCUCGCAGGUGGCAGGUGACCCCAUAACUCCGCUGACAGUGGAAUGAUCGAGCUGCACUCCCCCAAGGAAGACAAAGGCAGCGACUGUCC